rnacentral:rRNA from 1 species
UAGGAACGUACCCCAAACUGAGGGAUAAGCACCAGAAAUGGUGUCUAAUACCGCAUGUGCUCUAAGGAGUAAAGCUUCGGCGGUUUGGGAACGGCCUGCGCAUGAUUAGCUUGUUGGUGAGGUAAUGGCUCACCAAGGCGACGAUCAUUGGCUGGUCUGAGAGGAUGAUCAGCCAGACUGGGACUGAGACACGGCCCAGACUCCUACGGGAGGCAGCAGUAGGGAAUUUUCCACAAUGGGCGAAAGCCUGAUGGAGCAACGCCGCGUGCAGGAUGAAGGGCUUCGGUUCGUAAACUGCUUUUAUAUGUGACGAUUAUGACGGUAGCAUAUGAAUAAGGAUCGGCUAACUCCGUGCCAGCAGCCGCGGUCAUACGGAGGAUCCAAGCGUUAUCCGGAAUUACUGGGCGUAAAGAGUUGCGUAGGUGGCAUAGUAAGUCGGUAGUGAAAUUGUGUGGCUCAACCAUACACCCAUUACCGAAACUGCUAAGCUAGAGGACGAGAGAGGUAGAUGGAAUUUCCAGUGUAGGAGUGAAAUCCGUAGAUAUUGGAAGGAACACCGAUGGCGUAGGCAGUCUACUGGCUCGUUCCUGACACUAAGGCACGAAAGCGUGGGGAGCAAACGGGAUUAGAUACCCCGGUAGUCCACGCCGUAAACGAUGGAUGCUAGCUGUAAGAAGUAUCGACCCUUCUUGUAGCGAAGCUAACGCGUUAAGCAUCCCGCCUGUGGAGUACGAGCGCAAGCUUAAAACAUAAAGGAAUUGACGGGGACCCGCACAAGCGGUGGAGCGUGUUGUUUAAUUCGAUGGUAAGCGAAGAACCUUACCCAGGCUUGACAUCCUUGGAAUUUUGCCGAAAGGCGAGAGUGCUUUAUUG